UACGUAGGGUGCAAGCGUUUAUCCGGAAUUAUUGGGCGUAAAGAGCUCGUAGGCGGUUUGUCGCGUCUGCUGUGAAAACUGGAGGCUCAACCUCCAGCCUGCAGUGGGUACGGGCAAACUAGAGUGCGGUAGGGGAGAUUGGAAUUCCUGGUGUAGCGGUGGAAUGCGCAGAUAUCAGGAGGAACACCAAUGGCGAAGGCAGAUCUCUGGGCCGUAACUGACGCUGAGGAGCGAAAGCAUGGGGAGCGAACAGG
rnacentral:rRNA from 1 species